rnacentral:rRNA from 1 species
GCCUAAUACUGCAAGUCGAGCGGACAGAUGGGAGCUUGCUCCCUGAUGUUAGCGGCGGACGGGUGAGUAACACGUGGGUAACCUGCCUGUAAGACUGGGAUAACUCCGGGAAACCGGGGCUAAUACCGGAUGCUUGUUUGAACCGCAUGGUUCAAACAUAAAAGGUGGCUUCGGCUACCACUUACAGAUGGACCCGCGGCGCAUUAGCUAGUUGGUGAGGUAAUGGCUCACCAAGGCAACGAUGCGUAGCCGACCUGAGAGGGUGAUCGGCCACACUGGGACUGAGACACGGCCCAGACUCCUACGGGAGGCAGCAGUAGGGAAUCUUCCGCAAUGGACGAAAGUCUGACGGAGCAACGCCGCGUGAGUGAUGAAGGUUUUCGGAUCGUAAAGCUCUGUUGUUAGGGAAGAACAAGUGCCGUUCAAAUAGGGCGGCACCUUGACGGUACCUAACCAGAAAGCCACGGCUAACUACGUGCCAGCAGCCGCGGUAAUACGUAGGUGGCAAGCGUUGUCCGGAAUUAUUGGGCGUAAAGGGCUCGCAGGCGGUUUCUUAAGUCUGAUGUGAAAGCCCCCGGCUCAACCGGGGAGGGUCAUUGGAAACUGGGGAACUUGAGUGCAGAAGAGGAGAGUGGAAUUCCACGUGUAGCGGUGAAAUGCGCAUAGAUGUGGAGGAACACCAUUGGCGAAGGCGACUCUCUGGUCUGUAACUGACGCUGAGGAGCGAAAGCGUGGGGAGCGAACAGGAUUAGAUACCCUGGCAGUUCACGCCGUAAACUAUGA